rnacentral:misc_RNA from 1 species
GAUGAAGAACGUAGCGAAAUGCGAUAAGUAGUGUGAAUUGCAGAAUUCAGUGAAUCAUCGAAUCUUUGAACGCACAUUGCGCCCCUUGGUAUUCCAUGGGGCAUGCCUGUUCGAGCGUCAUUUGUACCUUCAAGCUUUGCUUGGUGUUGGGUGUUUGUCUCGCCUUUGCGUGUAGACUCGCCUUAAAAUAAUUGGCAGCCGGCGUAUUGAUUUCGGAGCGCAGUACAUCUCGCGCUUUGCACUCAUAACGACAGCGUCCAAAAGUACAUUUUACACUCUUGACCUCGGAUCAGGUAGGGAUACCCGCUGAACUUAAGCAUAUCAUACGGAGGA